UACGUAGGGGGCGAGCGUUUGUCCGGAAUCAUUGGGCGUAAAGAGCGUGUAGGCGGCUUGGCAAGUCUGACGUGAAAGCCCGCGGCUCAACCGCGGAUUGUCGUUGGAAACUGCCUCGCUAGAGUCCGGAAGAGGAGAGCGGAAUUCCUGGUGUAGCGGUGGAAUGCGCAGAUAUCAGGAAGAACACCCGUGGCGAAGGCGGCUCUCUGGGACGGUACUGACGCUGAGAAGCGAAAGCAUGGGGAGCGAACAGG
rnacentral:rRNA from 1 species